UACAGAGGGUGCAAGCGUUGUUCGGAAUUACUGGGCGUAAAGAGUGUUCAGGCGGGUUUGUAAGUCAGGUGUUAAAUCCCCCGGCUUAACCGGGGAAAGUCGCUUGAUACUGCGAAUCUUGAGUUUCGGGGAGGUGGGUGGAAUUCCCAGUGUAGAGGUGAAAUUCGUAGAGAUUGGGAGGAACAUCGGAGGCGAAAGCGGCUCACUAACCGAAUACUGACGCUGAUACACGAAAGCGUGGGUAGCAAACAGG
rnacentral:rRNA from 1 species